UACGAAGGGGGGCUAGCGUUGUUCGGAAUUACUGGGCGUAAAGCGCACGUAGGCGGACAUUUUAAGUCAGGGGGUGAAAUCCCAGAGCUCAACUCUGGAACUGCCUUUUGAUACUGGGUGUCUUUGAGUAUGGAAGAGGUGAGUGGAAUUCCGAGUGUAGAGGUGAAAUUCGUAGAUAUUCGGAGGAACACCAGUGGCGAAGGCGGCUCAC
rnacentral:rRNA from 1 species